rnacentral:rRNA from 1 species
GAGUUUGAUCGUGGCUCAGGACGAACGCUGGCGGCGUGCCUAACACAUGCAAGUCGAACGGAGAGAUACGAGAGCUUGCUCUUGUAAAUCUUAGUGGCGAACGGGUGAGUAACGCGUAAACAACCUGCCCAACGGAUGGGGACAACAGACGGAAACGACUGCUAAUACCCAAUAGACUCCGGUUUCGCAUGAAACCGACAGGAAAGGUGGCCUCUCGAAGAAGCUACCGCCGCAGGAGGGGUUUGCGUUUGAUUAGUUAGUUGGUGGGGUAACGGCCUACCAAGACGAUGAUCAAUAGCCGGUCUGAGAGGAUGAACGGCCACACUGGAACUGAGACACGGUCCAGACUCCUACGGGAGGCAGCAGUGGGGAAUCUUCCGCAAUGGACGCAAGUC